UACGAAGGGGGCUAGCGUUGCUCGGAAUCACUGGGCGUAAAGCGCACGUAGGCGGAUUGCUAAGUCAGGGGUGAAAUCCUGGAGCUCAACUCCAGAACUGCCUUUGAUACUGGCGAUCUCGAGUCCGGGAGAGGUGAGUGGAACUGCGAGUGUAGAGGUGAAAUUCGUAGAUAUCUGCAGGAACACCCGUGGCGAAGGCGGCUCGCUGGACCGCAACUGACGCUGAGGAACGAAAGCUAGGGGAGCAAACAGG
rnacentral:rRNA from 1 species